CGGGAUGAAGGCUUGAUGGUAAGCCGCCGGCCUUGGACACCGGAGAGUGCAGGUUCGACUCCUGUCAUCCCGACGA
rnacentral:tRNA from 1 species